rnacentral:rRNA from 1 species
AUGAGUGUAUUUCGUUUACCGGCUUCGGUCUGUGAUGAUCUAACCCGAAUGAUGAGGCGGUAUUGGUGGGGAGUGGAGAAUGAAAAAAAAAGAUGGCUUGGCUUAGCUAGGAAAAAAUGAUGUUACCCAAGGCUAGGGGGUAUGGGGUUUAGAGAUAUGAGGGCAUUCAACUAGGCGUUGUUGGCUAAGCAAGCCUGGCGUCUGUUGGACACCCCAGACAGCUUAUGUGCUCGUCUACUCCGGGCAAAAUAUUACCUAGGCCACCUACUCGACAUGGUCUUUCCGAGCAGCUCGUCGGCAGUUUGGAAAGGAAUUGUUUAUGGAUUGGAUCUUCUGAAGAAAAGUGUUAUUUGGCGCGUUGGAGAUGAUUCUCUAAUUAAAACAUGGCGUGACCCCUGGAUCACAUGGGGUCAUGAUUACAGGCCUGUCACGCCGAAGAGAAACUGUAGACUCAAUUGUGUUGCCAAUUUUAUUGAUGAACAUGGAGCAUGGGACGUUCAGAGGCUUCGGCAACAUUUCUGGGACUUGGAUGUUCGUGAGAUAAUUAAAAUCCGAACCUCUCCAAGGAAUAGAAAUGAUUUUAUUGCUUGGCAUCCGGAGAAGAGCGGACAAUUUACUGUCAGGAGUGCUUACCGUUUGGCAACUGAUGAGGAGAACCAUGUCGUGGCGACAGGUGCGGCGAGUAUUAAUCCGUCCAGCCAUCAACCUAUCUGGCAGUGUAUAUGGGGUGCCCAGGUACCCCUUAAAAUGAGAAUAAUGGCAUGGAAAGUGGUUUCGGGUGCACUGUCAACAAAGUCGUGCAAAAAGUAUAGACAUAUUUCAAAGAAGUAUCUUUUAUUGGGGUACGUAGUAAUUUUAAAAAAUUUCCUACGCACACGCAAGAUCAUGGUGAUGCAUAGCAACGAGAGGGGAGAGUGUCGUCCAUGUACCCUCAUAGACCGUAAGCGGAAGCGUUAUGACAAUGCGGUUGAUGUAGUCGUACAUCUUCACGAUCGACCGAUCCUAGUACCGAACGUACGGCACCUCCGCGAUCUGCACACGUUCAGCUCGGUGACCUCCCACGAACUCACGAUCCAGUGA